AAAAGAAACCAACCGGGAUUGCCUCAGUAACGGCGAGUGAAGCGGCAAGAGCUCAAAUUUGAAAUCUGGCCCCUUUGGGGUCCGAGUUGUAAUUUGCAGAGGAUGCUUCGGGUGCGGUCCCCGUCUAAGUGCCCUGGAACGGGCCGUCAUAGAGGGUGAGAAUCCCGUCUGGGAUGGGCGGCCGCGCCCGUGUGAAGCUCCUUCGACGAGUCGAGUUGUUUGGGAAUGCAGCUCUAAGCGGGUGGUAAAUUUCAUCUAAAGCUAAAUACUGGCCGGAGACCGAUAGCGCACAAGUAGAGUGAUCGAAAGAUGAAAAGCACUUUGAAAAGAGAGUUAAACAGCACGUGAAAUUGUUGAAAGGGAAGCGUUGUCCACCAGACUCGCCCGGGGGGGUUCAGCCGGCACGUGUGCCGGUGUACUCCUCUCCGGGCGGGCCAGCAUCGGUUUGGGCGGCUGGUGAAAGGCCCCGGGAAUGUGCCACCCUUCGGGGUGCCUUAUAGCCCGGGGUGCCAUACAGCCAGCCUGGACCGAGGCCCGCGCUUCGGCGAG
rnacentral:rRNA from 4 species